rnacentral:rRNA from 1 species
GAUGAACGCUGGCGGCGUGCCUAAUACAUGCAAGUCGAGCGAACGGACGAGAAGCUUGCUUUUCUGAUGUUAGCGGCGGACGGGUGAGUAACACGUGGAUAACCUACCUAUAAGACUGGGAUAACUUCGGGAAACCGGAGCUAAUACCGGAUAAUAUUUUGAACCGCAUGGUUCAAAAGUGAACGACGGUCUUGCUGUCACUUAUAGAUGGAUCCGCGCUGCAUUAGCUAGUUGGUAAGGUAACGGCUUACCAAGGCAACGAUGCAUAGCCGACCUGAGAGGGUGAUCGGCCACACUGGAACUGAGACACGGUCCAGACUCCUACGGGAGGCAGCAGUAGGGAAUCUUCCGCAAUGGGCGAAAGCCUGACGGAGCAACGCCGCGUGAGUGAUGAAGGUCUUCGGAUCGUAAAACUCUGUUAUUAGGGAAGAACAUAUGUGUAAGUAACUGUGCACAUCUUGACGGUACCUAAUCAGAAAGCCACGGUUAACUACGUG